CAGAAGAAAAGGGAACACAGUGACCUUGGAAGGAGUGGAUGAGGCCAUUAAUCAAUGGUCUCUGCAUGUAAAUGAGGAGCAGCCAAUUCCUACAGCUGAGCAUCAGAUUCCAAUUAGUGCACAAGACCGAGUCCGGGAGGAAGGGGUUAAUGUCAAAUGUCACCAGGCAGAAGAAACACAGGAAAAUUCAUUCCCAUAGCCUGGCCUCCGACAAGCAUCUAUCUAUCUAUACGUUCAGCUGAACUUUCCUUUCCCAUUCUGCGCAGUGAACAGUCAUUGUUUAAAAAUGUCAUGAUAAUAAUCAGCUUUUGCGGCAAAGAUAUGAAAAAUGUAUUUUAAGAUCAAAAGGAUGAUAUUGUCUUCCAGCAGAUUACACAUUCCGCCCACAGAAAAGGCUAAUCUGAUGUCCUCAGAGAGGAAAUAGGUAAACAUUUUCAACAUUAUCACCAUCUGUGUUUCAUUUCUUUGGGCCUGCUCAAGAAAAAAGUUAUUUAUGUAUUAAUAAAAAAGAAUGAUUUUGUCCUUCA
rnacentral:lncRNA from 1 species